GUCAGGCGUGGUGGCACACGCCUGUAAUCCCAGCAGCUCGGGAGGCUAAGACAGGAAGAUCGCUAGUUCGGCCAGCCUCAGCAAUGGUGAGGCCCUAAACAACUCAGUGAGACCCUGUCUCUA
rnacentral:sRNA from 1 species